AGAGUUUGAUCCCUGGCUCAGGAUGAACGCUAGCUACAGGCUUAACACAUGCAAGUCGAGGGGCAGCAUGGCGAUAGCUUGCUAUUGUCGAUGGCGACCGGCGCACGGGUGAGUAACGCGUAUCCAACGUUCCCCUUAGUAGGGCAUAGCCCGGCGAAAAGUUCGGAUUUAAUACCCUAUGUUCUUCAAUGCGGGCAUCUAAGUUGAAGCAAAGAUUCAUCGCUAAGGGAUGGGGAUGCGUCCGAUUAGGCCGCAGGCGGGGUAACGGCCCACCUGGCCCGCGAUCGGUAGGGGUUCUGAGAGGAAGGUCCCCCACAUUGGAACUGAGACACGGUCCAAACUCCUACGGGAGGCAGCAGUGAGGAAUAUUGGUCAAUGGGCGCGAGCCUGAACCAGCCAAGUAGCGUGCAGGAAGACGGCCCUAUGGGUUGUAAACUGCUUUUGUCGGGGAUAAAGUGGUCCACGUGUGGACUAUUGCAGGUACCCGGUGAAUAAGGACCGGCUAAUUCCGUGCC
rnacentral:rRNA from 1 species